rnacentral:telomerase_RNA from 1 species
ACGAGCGUGUUUACGAUUUGGUUUAGUGGAGGUUUUCGAGUUUCCACUACUCCUAACCCUAGGUUGUGAGCUAAACCUCGCCUGGCGCGAUGUCCGCAGUUUGUCUGUCCCGCUUUUUGUGGACGGCGAGGUAAAAUGAAAAUAUAAAGCGGGCACCGUAACCGCGUUCGUAACGGUUGGGUAUGUUAUGCCAGCGAGCCGGCAUGUUGUUUGCGUUUGAGCCAGGCAUGGCUUGUAGCUGAUUGUUAGGUUAGUCCUCGCGUCAGCUCGCUUUGUCUGCUCUGCGUAAAGCGGUCGUGUCGGUUGAUGCUAGUACAACACAGAGUAAAUGUUAAAUGCAGUUGUUAAAAGAGCAGUCUCAAGUAUUGUGGCUGUUCUAAAACUAUACUGCAUACAUUU